GUGGGGAAUAUUGGGCAAUGGGCGCAAGCCUGACCCAGCAACGCCGCGUGAAGGAAGAAGGCUUUCGGGUUGUAAACUUCUUUUACCAGGGACGAAAAAAAUGACGGUACCUGGAGAAUAAGCCACGGCUAACUACGUGCCAGCAGCCGCGGUAAUACGUAGGUGGCAAGCGUUGUCCGGAUUUACUGGGUGUAAAGGGCGCGUAGGCGGGAGAGCAAGUCAGGAGUGAACUCUAUGGGCUUAACCCAUAAAUUGCUUUUGAAACUGUUUUUCUUGAGUGAUGGAGAGGCAAGCGGAAUUCCUGGUGUAGCGGUGAAAUGCGUAGAUAUUAGGAGGAACACCAGUGGCGAAGGCGGCUUGCUGGACAUUAACUGACGCUGAUGCGCGAAAGCGUGGGGAGCAAACAGGAUUAGAAACCCCGGUAGUCC
rnacentral:rRNA from 1 species